AUGACAGAUGAUGCCAAAGGAAUAAACGAGAAAUGUGCACCUGGCAAAAAGACACAACAUCCUCAAAUGAAGUCGAACCUCGUUGUGGUGAGCAGUACCAGGUACGGUUCAUUCACCUUCAGAUCCUUCGUAUCCAAACUCCUUCAUUCUAAAGGGACUGUGGACAAACUGAAGAAAGUAAAAAUAAAUGGUUUUAAAAGGUUUGCCUUUUUUUCAUCGCAUUACCACACUGUAGUGAUGUUUUGCUCGUGAUUUAUGGACGGUGCCGCUGGUAUCACUGGAGAUGUUGCUCUAUGUUGAUAAGCCCUUGGUUUUCAUCCUCAGGGAGGUGAGUGUUGUCAUGGGCUAAUUGGCCUUGUGUCGUGUUAACUGGACGGGUGGACGGAUGGAAAGCUCUAGAAUUUACUCAAGGUCUCAGUGAGAACAGUCUGCACUGUGUGUGACUGCACCGCUGAAAUAAGUGUGUGUGUAUUAGUUGAGGAUGAGUUCAGGGUUUAAAUGUCACAAAUAUCAAAUCGAUGUGUAUUUUUUUUUUUAGGUAACGUGCAUUUCAGGUUUGCUCUGUGUAACUGCAGGUGGAGGUUUUUUCCAGGUGGCGUGUUGGGUCUGCGUCACUGUGGUAAAUCCAACAGGCACAGAAGUACGUGGCUGAAUGUUUCUUCUGGAGUUUAGGUAUCUUCAGGUUGAAUUUGUCUUUUCCAGAUUCGUCUUUAUAAAUUAAGAAAUCUUCAUAUCCAGGCUCCCUUACUGGGUUGCUACCGCCGAGUUCAACAUAGAGAAUCCGCUUGAGUUCUUUUCCGUCUUUCUGCUGGUACAAGUGGAGGUAGCUUUCGCAGUCACUGGUUCCACUGCAGCUGAAAACUACGGUUUUGUCUUCAGGUUUGGUCAGUGUGGGUGUGUCAUGGUGAAGAUCUGCUGCUUCUACUGCUGCUGAAACAGGAAAAGGAGAGAAGAUGAGAAAGUCUGUGUGUGUGUGUUUAGACAAUGACCAACAGUGUUCCAGGGAGAAAACACUGACCGGCAGACAGCAAGAGCACAAGCAUGUGAGGGAUGAGGAGAAGGACGACUCUGUCAGUCAUCAUCGCUGCUGCUCUCAUGGGGCUCAGAGCUGUGUUUGCUGGAGCUCUCGGGGCUUUUUACCGCGGUACCGACGACAUUGACUGUGUUCUCCAAUCACAGCUCAGCAACUGAUAGUACGACAGAGAGCCACACCCAGAGGCAGUCCUCUUCGAAUCUCUUUUUACUACUGCGUGUUUUUAUACACUUAUUUUUUUCCCCAAGUGAAGUGGAACUGAAAUGGCUUUUUUGGCUUUCUUCACAAGGACAUCAAAAUUCUGCAAAAUUGUGCAACAGAUGUAUAUUCAUUAUCUUUUUUUUGUGUUUAUUCUUGUUUUUUGGGACAGGCAUCAUGUGUGAUCGGUUUUUAGCACAGGUAAAAAGAUUUUUUUUUUUAUUUAAAAUUGAAAUCAGAUUUUUUUUUAAAUGCUGAUUGUCUCUGAUUCUGUCUGAAUUUGAAUUUUACUCUGUGCAUGGCUUUCUGGAGAGAAGGUAGGACACGAACUGUAGGGUCUGUGAAGGAAUUUGCAAAAAUUGGAAGUUUUGCUUUGCUUGUAAACUGGUUUGUGUGUAGCUCAUAACUUAUGGACAGUGCAACUUGUGGUAAAAUAAAUGUGCAGGUCUUUUGUUUAAAAUUGCUUUA
ensembl:lncRNA